UACGAAGGGGGCUAGCGUUGCUCGGAAUCACUGGGCGUAAAGGGCGCGUAGGCGGCCUGAUAAGUCGGGGGUGAAAGCCUGUGGCUCAACCACAGAAUUGCCUUCGAUACUGUUAGGCUUGAGUAUGGUAGAGGUUGGUGGAACUGCGAGUGUAGAGGUGAAAUUCGUAGAUAUUCGCAAGAACACCGGUGGCGAAGGCGGCCAACUGGACCAUUACUGACGCUGAGGCGCGAAAGCGUGGGGAGCAAACAGG
rnacentral:rRNA from 1 species